CGCGGUAAUACGUAGGGGGCGAGCGUUGUCCGGGAUUUACUGGGCGUAAAGGGUGAGUAGGCGGUAAUAUGUGUCAGAUGUAAAAGGCUAUGGCUUAACCAUAGUUGGCAUUUGAAACUGUAUUACUUGAGUGCAGGAGAGGUAAGUGGAAUUCCUAGUGUAGCGGUGAAAUGCGUAGAUAUUAGGAGGAACACCAGUGGCGAAGGCGACUUACUGGACUGUAACUGACGCUGAGUCACGAAAGCGUGGGUAGCAAACAGGAUUAGAUACCCUGGUAGUCCACGCUGUAAACGAUGAGUGCUAGGUGUUGGGUAGCGAUAUUCAGUGCCGAAGUAAACACAAUAAGCACUCCGCCUGGGGAGUACGGUCGCAAGACUGAAACUCAAAGGAAUUGACGGGGACCCGCACAAGCAGCGGAGCAUGUGGUUUAAUUCGAAGCAACGCGAAGAACCUUACCAAGGUUUGACAUCCCCUUGACAGAUGCAGAGAUGUGUCCUCCCCUUCGGGGGCAAGGGAGACAGGUGGUGCAUGGUUGUCGUCAGCUCGUGUCGUGAGAUGUUGGGUUAAGUCCCGCAACGAGCGCAACCCUUAUCCUUAGUUGCCAGCAGGUUAAGCUGGGCACUCUAAGGAGACUGCCGAUGAUAAAUCGGAGGAAGGUGGGGAUGACGUCAAAUCAUCAUGCCCCUUAUAUCUUGGGCUACACACGUGCUACAAUGGUCGGUACAAAGGGCAGCGAAGGAGUGAUCUGGAGCAAAUCCCAAUAAACCGAUCCCAGUUCGGAUUGUAGGCUGCAACUCGCCUACAUGAAGUCGGAGUUGCUAGUAAUCGCGAAUCAGAACGUCGCGGUGAAUGCGUUCCCGGGUCUUGUACACACCGCCCGUCACACCACGAGAGUUGGCAACACCCGAAGU
rnacentral:rRNA from 1 species